rnacentral:rRNA from 1 species
CGAAUAAUCUGCCUUUGGGUCUGGGAUAACCUUGGGAAACUGAGGAUAACACCGGAUAUGGGUCUAUGACUGGAAUGUUUUGACCUUUAAAAGCAAUGCCCAAAGAUGAGUCGGCGGCUGAUUAGGUAGUUGGUAGUGUAAAGGACUACCAAGCCCAUGAUCAGUAGGGGCCGUGAGAGCGGGAGCCCCGAGAAGGGUACUGAGAUACUGACCCUAGCCCCACGGGGUGCAGCAGUCGCGAAAACUUUACAAUGCACGAAAGUGUGAUAAGGGAACCCUAAGUGCCUUGUUUUACAAGGCUUUUGCCAAAUGCAAAUAGUUUGGCGAAUAAGUGGUGGGCAAGACCGGUGCCAGCAGCCGCGGUAACCCCGGCGCCACAAGUGGGAAUCGCAUUUAUUGGGCCUAAAGCAUCCGUAGCCGGAUUGGCAAAUCUUUUGUGAAAUUGUUGGGCUUAACUCAACGAAUUGCAAGAGACACUACUAAUCUCGGGACCGGAGAGGAGUCAGAGGUAUGGGAGGGGAGCGGUAAAAUGUUAUAAUCCUUCCUAGACCACCUGUGGCGAANGCGUCUGACUAAAACGGACCCGACGGUGAGGGAUGAAAGCUAGGGGAGCAAACCGGAUUAGAUACCCGGGUAGUCCUAGCUGUAAACUCUGCGAGCUAGGUAUCGCGUAUUCCUUGAAAGUACGCGGAAUCGUAGUGAAGACGUUAAGCUCGCCACCUGGGAAGUAUAGCCGCANGNCNNAAACUUAA